AUUGAACGCUGGCGGCAGGCCUAACACAUGCAAGUCGAACGAGUGGCGGACGGGUGAGUAAUGUAUGGGAAACUGCCCGAUGGAGGGGGAUAACUACUGGAAACGGUAGCUAAUACCGCAUACUAUCGGAUGAACCCAUAUGGGAUUAGCUAGUAGGUGGGGUAAAGGCUCACCUAGGAGACGAUCCCUAGCUGGUCUGAGAGGAUGAGCAGCCACACUGGAACGUAUACACGGUCCAGACUCCUACGGGAGGCAGCAGUGGGGAAUAUUGCACAAUGGGCGCAAGCCUGAUGCAGCCAUGCCGCGUGUAUGAAGAAGGCCUUAGGGUUGUAAAGUACUUUCAGCGGGGAGGCGUUACCCGCAGAAGAAGCACCGGCUAACUCCGUGCCAGCAGCCGCGGUAAUAC
rnacentral:rRNA from 1 species